GAGACCCACGCCCACAGUUGCCAGCGUACUCUCCGGAGUGACGGGUACACUGUGGGGACCGCCGCUGCUAAAGCGGAGGAAGGAAUGGGCAACGGUAGGUCAGUAUGCCCCGAAUAUCCCGGGCUACACGCGAGCUACAAUGGUUGGUACAAUGGGUAUCUACCCCGAAAGGGGACGGAAAUCUCCUAACGCCAAUCUUAGUUCGGAUUGAGGGCUGCAACUCGCCCUCAUGAAGCUGGAAUCCGUAGUAAUCGCACAUCAACAGUGUGCGGUGAAUAC
rnacentral:rRNA from 1 species